GUGCUUGCGUCAGCAGCACAUAUACUAAAAUUGGAACUAUACAGAGAAAAUUAGCAUGGCCCCUGAACAAGAAUUCUGGAAAUAAAAGAAAGAGGGAGAGGAAAGAA